AAAAAGAUAAGCUAAAUUAAGCUACUGGGUUCAUACCCCAUUUAUGAUAUAAAAUCUCUUUUUA
rnacentral:tRNA from 1 species